GGAAGGAUCAUUCCUAUUUUAUUCUUAUCUCGCCGUUGAACGGUUGUUUCUUUCACGAGAGACAAUCAACGUUUUGUUGUUGUAAAAACAUAUUUAAAAUUUCCAACUGUAAGCAACGGAUACCUCGGCUAUCACAACGAUGAAGAACGCAGCAAAGCGCGAUAGGAAUUGCGAAUUGCAGAAUUCAGUGAAUCAUCGUACUUUUGAACGCAAUUGCGCUCUUGGGAAUCCCCUUGAGCAUGCCUCUUUGAGUGUCGGUUUUUUCCAACUCUUUGGAGUUGAAUUGGAGUUUUUCAAUAUGCUCUGAAAUUUUACGAUUGCCUGUUUUGCUAUUUGAGUGUAUUGGUAAAAAUGUUGCUGGGAAACUACUACAUUGAGCUAUGUGCAUGAGAAUAUAAGGCUUGCAUAAAAUCUUUUUUCGCAAGAAAAAAAAACCAAAAAAUGACCUCAAAUGAGGUAAGAAGACCCCCUGAAUUUAAGCAUAUAAUUAAGGGGAGGAAAAGAAACUAACUAGGAUUCCCUGAGUAACUGCGAGUGAAACGGGAAGAGCUCAACCUUAAAAUCGCUGUAGGUCUCCUGUAGUGAGUUGUGGGUUCUGGAAGUAAUUUCAGCUAGUGGCCCUGCUUUAAGUCUGCUGGAAUGCAGCUGUCAUAGAGGGUGAGAACCCCGUCUUGAGGUGGGAGUCCGCUGCGUACGAGAUGCUUUCUCAGAGUCGGGUUGCUUGGGAGUGCAACCUUAAAUGGGAGGUGAAUUCCUUCCAAAGCUAAAUACAUGUGAUAGACCGAUAGCGCACAAGUACCGUAAGGGAAAGGUGAAAAGGACUUUGAAAAGAGAGUCAAAAGUACUUGAAAUUGCUUAUAGUCAACGGAUAGAAACUAUUGGAUCGGUUCGUCGUAUUAACGGCUUGUACAGUUUGAUUUGCCAUAAAAUUGUCUGUUUCUUCGAGGCGGUGGUUUGUGGUUGGUUAGGUUGUGCAAGUUGGGCUUAGCGGCGAUAGAUGUCAAAAUGAGUUUGCGAUGUGGGAUACUAGUGGUCUGGAGGUAGAGCGUGAUCCUUUUGGUGAUCCUUGAAUGCAGGCUGCGGAUACCAUGUUGUGGACUGAGGAUAGAUUUUGACGAAAUGGUUUUUAUUCACCCGUCUUGAAACACGGACCAAGGAGUGUAAGGUGUAUGCAAGUGUUAGGGUGUAAAACCCGGACGCGUAAUGAAAGUAAAGUCUACGUAUGUGGAUGAGGUGUCAAUGCCGUUCCUAUAUGGGAAAAGCAGGCAGCACCGCCCGGACCUUCCCUAGUGUUGGUUUCGAGGACGAGCAUAUACGUUACGACCCGAAAGAUGGUGAACUAUACCUGAGCAGGGUGAAGCCAGGGGAAACUCUGGUGGAGGCUCGUAGCGAUACUGACGUGCAAAUCGUUCGUCAGACUUGGGUAUAGGGGCGAAAGACUAAUCGAACCAUCUAGUAGCUGGUUCCCCC
rnacentral:misc_RNA from 1 species